rnacentral:rRNA from 1 species
GAUGAACGCUGGCGGCGUGCCUAAUACAUGCAAGUCGAGCGAACAGAUGAGGAGCUUGCUCCUCUGACGUUAGCGGCGGACGGGUGAGUAACACGUGGAUACCCUACCUAUAAGACUGGGAUAACUUCGGGAAACCGGAGCUAAUACCGGAUAAUAUAUUGAACCGCAUGGUUCAAUAGUGAAAGACGGUUUUGCUGUCACUUAUAGAUGGAUCCGCGCCGCAUUAGCUAGUUGGUAAGGUAACGGCUUACCAAGGCAACGAUGCGUAGCCGACCUGAGAGGGUGAUCGGCCACACUGGAACUGAGACACGGUCCAGACUCCUACGGGAGGCAGCAGUAGGGAAUCUUCCGCAAUGGGCGAAAGCCUGACGGAGCAACGCCGCGUGAGUGAUGAAGGUCUUCGGAUCGUAAAACUCUGUUAUUAGGGAAGAACAAAUGUGUAAGAAACUAUGCACGUCUUGACGGUACCUAAUCAGAAAGCCACGGCUAACUACGUG